CCUACGGGAGGCAGCAGUGGGGGAUAUUGCACAAUGGGGGAAACCCUGAUGCAGCGACGCCGCGUGGGUGAAGAAGCGCCUCGGCGCGUAAAGCCCUGUCAGCAGGGAAGAAAAUGACGGUACCUGAAGAAGAAGCCCCGGCUAACUACGUGCCAGCAGCCGUGGUAAUACGUAGGGGGCAAGCGUUAUCCGGAUUUACUGGGUAUAAAGGGGGCGCAGACGGCGAUGCAAGCCAGGAGUGAAAGCCCGGGGCCCAACCCCGGGACUGCUCUUGGAACUGCGUGGCGAGAGUGCAGGAGGGGCAGGCGGAAUUCCUGGUGUAGCGGUGAAAUGCGUAGAUAUCAGGAGGAACACCGGUGGCGAAGGCGGCCUGCUGGACUGCAACUGACGUUGAGGCCCGAAAGCGUGGGGAGCAAACAGGAUUAGAUACCCCAGUAGUC
rnacentral:rRNA from 1 species